AGUUUGUUUUGCUUGUUGGUUCUUGUCGUUGUGAUAAUGAUUGAAGAUUUUGUUAUUGGAAAUUGUAAUAAUUGUCAUUUUAAGAUUGAAGUGCUGUUUAUUAGUUAUUUUAACCGAUUGAAGUGAGUUGAAUAAAUUGAUGGAAUUUCCGUGAUAGAUUAAUAGUGUUGUGCGUUUGGUUUUGAAGAUUUGUCGUGUCAUUUCAGGUGUGAGGUGAACACAUUUAGCAACGCAUCGAAUGGAGCUUGGUAGACUAUACUGAUUCACUCCUGUCAUGGACCACAGCUUUCAAGUAUGGCACUUGACAGGUAUGGACCAAAUUUUUGGAGGAGAUACAUAAGACGAGUUCUGCAAUAUAAUGAAGAAGCCUAUGAUGUUGGCAUCAUGAUUUUAUGAUUGAUCUCCUAAGUUGUUAACUUAUCUUAUGGACGGACAACAUAUUUCA
rnacentral:lncRNA from 1 species